rnacentral:rRNA from 1 species
GAUGAACGCUGGCGGCGUGCCUAAUACAUGCAAGUCGAGCGAACUGAUUAGAAGCUUGCUUCUAUGACGUUAGCGGCGGACGGGUGAGUAACACGUGGGCAACCUGCCUGUAAGACUGGGAUAACUUCGGGAAUCCGAAGCUAAUCCCGGAUAGGAUCUUCUCCUUCAUGGGAGAUGAUUGAAAGAUGGUUUCGGCUAUCACUUACAGAUGGGCCCGCGGUGCAUUAGCUAGUUGGUGAGGUAACGGCCCACCAAGGCAACGAUGCAUAGCCGACCUGAGAGGGUGAUCGGCCACACUGGGACUGAGACACGGCCCAGACUCCUACGGGAGGCAGCAGUAGGGAAUCUUCCGCAAUGGACGAAAGUCUGACGGAGCAACGCCGCGUGAGUGAUGAAGGCUUUCGGGUCGUAAAACUCUGUUGUUAGGGAAGAACAAGUACAAGAGUAACUGCUUGUACCUUGACGGUACCUAACCAGAAAGCCACGGCUAACUACGUGCCAGCCGCCGCAGUAACAC